CCAGCAUCACUAGUAAAACAAUAACAAUAAUAUAAUAAACAAAAUAACCCACAACCGUUUAAAGUGGCAAGGUCAAAAGAAAAUUUGAGAAUUGAGAUUGGGACCAAGUCGUAGCCAAGCACCUUCGACGAGACAAUGCCUUCGAUAGUUGAAAAUGGUCACAUGGUUAGUUGGUCUCCCCUAGCCGCCCCCACAAGCUGGCGUCCACACGCUUUUGAGCCCCAACCCAUUCCUACAGCGAAAAGGAAACAACUUGGAAGUUAAAAGGUUUCCCACUCUCUAAGGAUGCUAAGGUUCUUCCUUAUAUAUAGUUUUUCUUGAAAUUGCUCCUCGUCAAAUACCUAAACACAGCAAGAAAAGCAAACUAGAAUCUUCCUCUCUAGCUUUCAAAGGGUCUUCUACUACUUGAGAUUUGGGGCGAUCAAGAUUUUCUUGAAGAGACCAUGAAUUCUAUGUUCAGUUCUUUUGAUGCUUUGUGUGCUGAGUUAUUGGGUCAAAAAGUGAGGUCUUCACUCGCUCUUACAACCAUGGAUUGCAAUACCAAGAGGGUUUUGACCGCUGGUGAUAAUAGUGAGGUGGGAGAAGAUAAGUUGAUCAAGAAUCGAGAGGGAAGCUCCUCGAGAUCGUUGGCUAGGAAACAAGAGAAGAAGGUGCCAAGGUUUGCACCAGAGCUUGAUGGACUCAACUGCUUCGAGACCAUUGUUAACUAUUGAGAUUCGAUGACAUGACGCAAUGAAGUUGUGUUUUUAUUUAUAGGGAUAUGUAGAGAAAGAAAAAGGUAGGAAUUAUUCUUUGAUUGAUCGAUCUAUCUGAAGUGGUGAUUGUAAUGUUAAAAUGUAAUUCUAAUAUACUAUUGUAUGACUAGAAUAUUCUUUUUGUUCAUCUUCUUGAAAUAAUUUUGAGUUUUUAUUAUUUGAUGGAUUAAAUUCUCAAAACCAUACUCAAAGCUAUGCUCUUGCGGGGGGUGCUAGGUAAUCAUGGCAAUCAUGUUAUUCGGCUACUUUUAUCAGAGCCAAGAUCCCCUGUACAUAGCAGCUCUAAUCUCCC
rnacentral:lncRNA from 1 species